ACCAGUGUGGUGUAGUGGUUUGAGUGUUGGACUACAACUCUGGAGACCAGGGUUCGAUUCCCAGCUUGGCA